AGCGAACGCUGGCGGCAGGCCUAACACAUGCAAGUCGAACGAACCUUUCGGGGUUAGUGGCGGACGGGUGAGUAACACGUGGGAACGUGCCCUUUGGUUCGGAAUAACUCAGGGAAACUUGUGCUAAUACCGAAUGUGCCCUUCGGGGGAAAGAUUUAUCGCCUUUAGAGCGGCCCGCGUCUGAUUAGCUAGUUGGUUGAGGUAAUGGCUCACCAAGGCGACGAUCAGUAGCUGGUCUGAGAGGAUGAUCAGCCACAUUGGGACUGAGACACGGCCCAAACUCCUACGGGAGGCAGCAGUGGGGAAUCUUGCGCAAUGGGCGAAAGCCUGACGCAGCCAUGCCGCGUGAAUGAUGAAGGUCUUAGGAUUGUAAAAUUCUUUCACCGGGGACGAUAAUGACGGUACCCGGAGAAGAAGCCCCGGCUAACUUCGUG
rnacentral:rRNA from 1 species